rnacentral:rRNA from 1 species
UACAGGGGGGGCAAGCGUUGUUCGGAAUUACUGGGCGUAAAGCGCACGUAGGCGGUCUUUUAAGUCGGGGGUGAAAUCCUGGAGCUCAACUCCAGAACUGCCUCCGAUACUGAGAGCUUGAGUCCGGGAGAGGUGAGUGGAACUGCGAGUGUAGAGGUGAAAUUCGUAGAUAUUCGCAAGAACACCAGUGGCGAAGGCGGCUCACUGGCCCGGUACUGACGCUGAGGUGCGAAAGCGUGGGGAGCAAACAGG